rnacentral:rRNA from 1 species
GAUGAACGCUGGCGGCGUGCCUAAUACAUGCAAGUCGAGCGAACGGACGAGAAGCUUGCUUCUCUGAUGUUAGCGGCGGACGGGUGAGUAACACGUGGAUAACCUACCUAUAAGACUGGGAUAACUUCGGGAAACCGGAGCUAAUACCGGAUAAUAUUUUGAACCGCAUGGUUCAAAAGUGAAAGACGGUCUUGCUGUCACUUAUAGAUGGAUCCGCGCUGCAUUAGCUAGUUGGUAAGGUAACGGCUUACCAAGGCAACGAUGCAUAGCCGACCUGAGAGGGUGAUCGGCCACACUGGAACUGAGACACGGUCCAGACUCCUACGGGAGGCAGCAGUAGGGAAUCUUCCGCAAUGGGCGAAAGCCUGACGGAGCAACGCCGCGUGAGUGAUGAAGGUCUUCGGAUCGUAAAACUCUGUUAUUAGGGAAGAACAUAUGUGUAAGUAACUGUGCACAUCUUGACGGUACCUAAUCAGAAAGCCACGGCUAACUACGUGCCAGCAGCCGCGGUAAUACGUAGGUGGCAAGCGUUAUCCGGAAUUAUUGGGCGUAAAGCGCGCGUAGGCGGUUUUUUAAGUCUGAUGUGAAAGCCCACGGCUCAACCGUGGAGGGUCAUUGGAAACUGGAAAACUUGAGUGCAGAAGAGGAAAGUGGAAUUCCAUGUGUAGCGGUGAAAUGCGCAGAGAUAUGGAGGAACACCAGUGGCGAAGGCGACUUUCUGGUCUGUAACUGACGCUGAUGUGCGAAAGCGUGGGGAUCAAACAGGAUUAGAUACCCUGGUAGUCCACGCCGUAAACGAUGAGUGCUAAGUGUUAGGGGGUUUCCGCCCCUUAGUGCUGCAGCUAACGCAUUAAGCACUCCGCCUGGGGAGUACGACCGCAAGGUUGAAACUCAAAGGAAUUGGCGGGGACCCGCACAAGCGGUGGAGCAUGUGGUUUAAUUCGAAGCAACGCGAAGAACCUUACCAAAUCUUGACAUCCUUUGACAACUCUAGAGAUAGAGCCUUCCCCUUCGGGGGACAAAGUGACAGGUGGUGCAUGGUUGUCGUCAGCUCGUGUCGUGAGAUGUUGGGUUAAGUCCCGCAACGAGCGCAACCCUUAAGCUUAGUUGCCAUCAUUAAGUUGGGCACUCUAAGUUGACUGCCGGUGACAAACCGGAGGAAGGUGGGGAUGACGUCAAAUCAUCAUGCCCCUUAUGAUUUGGGCUACACACGUGCUACAAUGGACAAUACAAAGGGCAGCGAAACCGCGAGGUCAAGCAAAUCCCAUAAAGUUGUUCUCAGUUCGGAUUGUAGUCUGCAACUCGACUACAUGAAGCUGGAAUCGCUAGUAAUCGUAGAACAGCAUGCUACGGUGAAUACGUUCCCGGGUCU